rnacentral:rRNA from 1 species
AGUGAACGCUGGCGGUAGGCCUAACACAUGCAAGUCGAACGGCAGCACCGUAAGAGCUUGCUCUUACGGGUGUCGAGUGGCGGACGGGUGAGUUAUACAUCGGAAUCUACUUUUUCGUGGGGGAUAACGUAGGGAAACUUACGCUAAUACCGCAUACAACCUACUUGUGAAAGCAGGGGAUCUUCUGACCUUGCGCGAUUGAAUGAGCCGAUGUCGGCUUAGCUCGUUGGCGGGGUAAAGGCACACCCAGGCGACGAUCCGUAGCUGGUCUGAGAGGAAGAACAGAUACACUGGAACUGAGAAAGGGUAGAGACACCUACAGGAGGACGCAGUGGAGAAUAUUAGGCGAUGGGCGCGAGCGUGAUACAGCCAAACCGCGUAGGUGAAGAAGGAGUUCGGGUUGUAAAGCCAUUUUGUUGGGAAAGAAAAGAAGCAGGUUAAUACCCCGCUGUAAUGACGGUACCGAAAGAAUAAGCACCGGCUAACUUCGUG